rnacentral:rRNA from 1 species
CAAUAGCGUAUAUUAAAGUUGUUGCAGUUAGAACGCUCGUAGUCGGAUUUCGGGGCGGGCCGACCGGUCUGCCGAUGGGUACGCACUGGUCGGCGCGUCCUUCCUUCCGGAGACCGUGCCUACUCUUAACUGAGCGGGGGCGGGAGACGGAUCGUUUACUUUGAAAAAAUCAGAGUGUUUCAAGCAGGCAGCUCGCUCUUACAUGGAUUAGCAUGGGAUAAUGAAAUAGGACUUUGGUGCUAUUUUGUUGGUUUCGAACACCGAAGUAAUGAUUAACAGGGACAGUCAGGGGCACUCGUAUUCCGCCGAGAGAGGUGAAAUUCUCAGACCAGCGGAAGACGAACUACUGCGAAAGCAUUUGCCAGGGAUGUUUNCACUG